UACGUAGGGUGCGAGCGUUGUCCGGAAUUACUGGGCGUAAAGAGCUCGUAGGUGGUUUGUCGCGUUGUUCGUGAAAACCUGAGGCUUAACCUUGGGCGUGCGGGCGAUACGGGCAGACUGGAGUACUGCAGGGGAGACUGGAAUUCCGGGUGGAGCGGUGAAAUGCGUAGAGAUCCGGAGGAACACCAGGGGCGAAAGCGGCCGACUGGCUGAGUACUGACGCUGAGGCGCGAAAGCGUGGGGAGCAAACCGG
rnacentral:rRNA from 1 species